rnacentral:tRNA from 1 species
GGGGCCAUGGCUCAGCCGGGACUGCGCCUGCUUCGCAUGCAGGAGGUCAGCGGUUCGAAUCCGCUUGGCUCCACCA